AAAAAAACCCCAACUCAACAAUAAAAAUCUUAAAAAUAAUAUAGACGUGACAUAUAUAUUAUUUUAACCCUUUGGAUGCAUUUUGUUCUUUUUUGUAAAAGCAUGGAGAGGCCUGACUCUUAAAAAAAUGGAUCAAACGACUACAAAAGCAAAAGGUUACUUGCACACUGAUUUUAUAGCUUGUAGCACCUUUAGUUGCAAUAACUAACUAAAUAAAUAAAGUAAUAAAGUAACAGUUUUCUUUUUGACUUAAACAGUCUGUCACAUCAUUGUGGGCCAAUUCUAGACCCCUCUUUUUUUUUACAAAGUUUGUUCAGGAUAUUGAGAUUUGGAAGCAUUCAUGUAUGCACAGCUCUCUUAAGGUCCUACCACAGCAUGCCUGCACUUUGACUGACCCAUUGUGACACCUUAAUUGUUUUUUUUUUUUUUUAUCAGCCAUUCUGUUAUAAUUUUGCUGCUGUGCUUGGGAUCAUUGCCCUUUUUUAUGCCUGAAUUUGGACUAAGCUUUAGCUGUCCAAAGACAGAUGGUCUCACAUUUAAGUCCAUACAGAGAAGUUCAUGGUCGUCUUAAUGACUGCAAGGUGCCGAAUUCCUGUGGCUGCAAAACGAACCCAAAUCAUCACUUGGCCACCACUGUGAUGCGUUUGAUAUUAAGUGUUCGUGUUGAUAUGCUUUGUUUGCUUUUGUGCAUUAGGGAUUAUGCCAAACAUCUCCAUCCAUUAGGUUUACAACACCAGAAGUGUUUUUUUUAGAGAGAAGACACUUUCUCCUGGAAACCCUACUAAACAAUUCACACUUGUUUAAUUUUUUUCUAAUCGUGUUAUCAUGAACUUUAACAUUUAACAUGCUAACUGAGGCCUGUAGAGUCUGUAUUUCUUGUGUUUGUUGUAGUUUCUUUAAGAGUUGUGUGGUCUGACCUUAGGAUGAAUUUGCUGAGAAGACUGUCUUUGAGUUGACAAAAACGGAAUGCUCCAGACCAGCAAACAAUUUUUGAGAUACUUACCUUUGUAAUUCCUACAAGAGCAGUAAGUUUACUGCAUAGAGAACUGUAAAAACUCUUUUUCACAUGCUUGUUAAUGUUCAAGUCAUGCUUAUGGCAAGAACAUCAGACUCUAAUUUCUGUCAAGCCUUCAUAAUGUAAAUUCAUAACUUUUACUAUGUUUUAUUGGUGUUUCU
ensembl:lncRNA